AUUUAUAUAGUAUAAAUAAAUAUUACAUUUAACUUCCAAUUAAAAAAUUUAGUUAAACUAAUAUAAAUA
rnacentral:tRNA from 1 species